CAGUCGCCGCGGGAAUACGUAGGUCCCGAGCGUUGUCCGGAUUUAUUGGGCGUAAAGGGAGCGCAGGCGGUUUAGUAAGUCUGAAGUUAAAGGCAUUGGCUCAACCAAUGUAUGCUUUGGAAACUGUUAGACUUGAGUGCAGAAGGGGAGAGUGGAAUUCCAUGUGCAGCGGUGAAAUGCGUAGAUAUAUGGAGGAACACCGGUGGCGAAAGCGGCUCUCUGGUCUGUCACUGACGCUGAGGCUCGAAAGCGUGGGUAGCGAACAGGAUUAGAUACCCCAGUAGUCCCUGUCUCUUAUACA
rnacentral:rRNA from 1 species